rnacentral:rRNA from 1 species
GGCGGGCUGGAACCUCUCGGGGUUACAGCCUUGCUGAAUUAUUCACCCUUGUCUUUUGCGUACUUCUUGUUUCCUUGGUGGGUUCGCCCACCACUAGGACAAACAUAAACCUUUUGUAAUUGCAAUCAGCGUCAGUAACAAAUUAAUAAUUACAACUUUCAACAACGGAUCUCUUGGUUCUGGCAUCGAUGAAGAACGCAGCGAAAUGCGAUAAGUAGUGUGAAUUGCAGAAUUCAGUGAAUCAUCGAAUCUUUGAACGCACAUUGCGCCCUUUGGUAUUCCAAAGGGCAUGCCUGUUCGAGCGUCAUUUGUACCCUCAAGCUUUGCUUGGUGUUGGGCGUCUUGUCUCUAGCUUUGCUGGAGACUCGCCUUAAAGUAAUUGGCAGCCGGCCUACUGGUUUCGGAGCGCAGCACAAGUCGCACUCUCUAUCAGCAAAGGUCUAGCAUCCAUUAAGCCUUUUUUUCAACUUUUGACCUCGGAUCAGGUAGGGAUACCCGCUGAACUUAAGCAUAUCAAUAAGCGGAGGAAGCAC